rnacentral:ncRNA from 1 species
UAUUGUGAGGUGUAAUCUGGAGAAAUAUGUAGACAAAUCUCUGGCCCAAUAGACAGAAAGCACAUAUAUGGCUGGGCUUUGAAAAAUAAACUGGUCAAAAUCAACUAAGUUUAAUAACUAUUACCUUUGUAGUAGCGGAGUAAGUGUGGCGAAUAUAUGGAGAGAAAGUGC